rnacentral:rRNA from 1 species
AGCUCCAGUAGCGUAUAUUAAAGUUGUUGCAGUUAAAAAGCUCGUAGUUGGAUUUCUGGUUGUAGCGUUAGGCCCACUCGGGUUACCGACGUGAGUGCCUGGACGCUCCUUCCAUCCUUCUAGAGAACGGUUCUCUCCUUCAUUGGCAGUGGGAUCGCGAUCUAGAUCUUUUACUUUGAAAAAAUUAGAGUGUUUAAAGCAGGCUUGUGCUAUGAAUACAUUAGCAUGGAAUAAUAAUUUAGGACUUUGGUUCUAUUUUGUUGGUUUCUAGAACUGAAGUAAUGAUUGAUAGGGACAGUUGGGGGUGCUAGUAUUCAGCGGCCAGAGGUGAAAUUCUUGGAUUCGCUGAAGACUAACUUAUGCGAAAGCAUUCACCAAGGAUGUCUUCUUUAAUCAAGAA